GGAUGCUGAGGACUUGCUGGAGUCACAGCCGCUGGGAUCCUUUCUCAUCAGGGUCAGUCACAGCCACGUGGGCUACACACUUUCUUACAAUGUCUCCGCAGAGCCCAAAGCAGCUGCUGCCAUUUCAUGGUGAAGCUCUUGGAUGAUGGAACUUUCAUAAUCCCCGGGGAGAAGGUGGCCCACACCUCACUGGACGCCCUGGUCACCUUCCACCAGCAGAAUCCAAUUGAGCCGCGCAGGGAGCUGCUGACACAGCCCUGCAGAAGGAUCCAGCGAACGUGGAUUACGAGGAUCUCUUCCUCUACUCCAACGCAGUGGCGGAGGCAGCUGCCUGUCCGGUGUCUGCACCUGAGGAGGCCUCCCCAAAGCCAGUCCUGCGUCACCAAUCAAAGGAAAGAAAGCCGUCAUCAGAGAUGAACAGAGUAACCACCGAGGAAGCCACUUCCUCCUGCCCCCCAAAAACCCCUCUUGGAGAGACCCGCCAGAAACUCUGGAGGAGCCUCAAAAUGCUCCCCCAGAGAGGCCAGAGGGUCCGGCAGCAGCUGAAAAGCCACCUCGUCACUGUGAGCCUGCCGUCACUCUUGGAUGUCCGGAGAUCCACGGUGAUCUCAGGCCCUGGGACCGGAAAAGGCAGCGAAGAUCACUCAGGGGAUCCCACUUCGGGGGACAGAGUCCACACGGAUCCCUGUGCGGUCACAUCUCUCAAAAGCCCCUCACAGCCCCAGGCACCAAAAGACAGAAAGAUCCCCACCAGGAAGGCCGAGAGGUUGGCCAGCUACAGUGAGGUGACCCCGGGGGACAGGAGUUGGCACCAAAUGGUAAUGAGAGCUCUGUCCUCCCAGGAGUCCACACCAGAACACCAGGGCUUGGCAGAGCCUGAGAACGACCAGCUCCCGGAGGAGUACCAACAACCGCCACCGUUUGCCCCUGGGUACUGCUAGAGAACAGGUCCAUCCUGGCUCUGUCCUCUUGCUACCGGGGGCUGCCACACUCCUGAAUGUCCUAACAUUUCUUCCAUGGCCCCACACCAUGGCAUCCGGGAGUCUUUGGGAACCCGGGAAACGGAACGAAGAUGUUUUUGGGGUCUGUU